AACUAUUGGAACAGCAGUCAGAUUGGACUAAAAUCCAUGUCUCUUCCUGUGAAUAAUGCUGUCUACCAACCUAACCCCUUUUAGGUAAUGCACACUUAUUUUCAGAAUAAAUAUAUACUAUAGCAAGCAUAGAAUAUAUUAUUUUAAAAUAACUAUUCCUUUUCGAGAACAAAAAGUACUUUAAGCGUCAAACGUUGAACCAAAAGCAGCAAUAGUCAAUAUAUAAAUGGUUGACUUCGUGCACGGAUGUCAAACUUAACUGUACACUGCGCCUAAACAUAUUUUGGGCGUUGUUGUUUGCAGUUCCUUCCUGUAAUCGUCA